UGCAAUGCGAGGCCGGCUACGCUCGUCCCGAUAGAAAACUGUUGGAGGGGCCGCUCCUUGUGUUUCCUUCCUCCAUGUAUAGACCGUUUACAGCAGAGUUAUCUGGGCGCCGCCAUCUUAGCGCACGUGACCUUGCGCGCCACUGCUUGCCUUCUCUUUCGGCUGCCUGUUGGCACGGCGCACGUAGUACGACAGUGCAACCCAGAGACGCUUUCCCCGAUUUUAAACUUUUUGCAAUGAAUUCCGGAUGGAAGGAUGAAACGAGGCUUUGGCCGAAGCUUCAACGGUCAGAUGUACACAAGCACAUGAUCAACGAGCUAGCGGGAGACGGAAAGCCUGCGCUGAACUACAGAGAAUUUGCAAAUGGAACGAAGCUGUUUGACAGCGGCCAUGUCGGUGUAGUACUGUGCUAGUGCAACGAUGGUGUAUGAAUUUUAGAUGGCGACACCAGGUCGACACAAACAGUGAGCAGAACGUGUAGUACAGAGACUCGCUUCGGGCCCACUUGGGCGGCAACAUGCACAUGUAAAGCGGGUCUGAGCAGCAGGUGCAGUCAUAUUUGUACACUGCUCAUCGAGGUUGUAGAGGCGACAAACAAGGGGCUCACGAGUGCUUCGUGCACUGACAAGGCAUGUACACGGAACCGUUCAGCUGCAAGGAACGUGAUCUCUGCUACUAUGGGGGAAGUUUAUUCUUACAAGCAGCAGCCAACCCGGUAAUCCAGAAGAUGUGGGUGCGAAUCCUACAGUUGGCUAACCUUUUCAGUGGCUUCCAUCUUUCGUCUUUCACCUACAGCAGAGUUUGGGGCUCACCCAUAAAUGCUGCGCCACUUUGAGGGCUGCAUUACUUACCCUCGCUGACUUUCCUGGUUUGAAAUCGUUCCUCUGAAGGUUCGAUACUUACCGUUUUCGAAUCCGCUUGUUUUUCUCUCUUUGUGGAAAUCCGUGCAUUGCAAAAGGCCUCGAACGCGGGCAGUCUUUGUAUAGCGACUGCUCGUGAAUUUAACAAACAGCUUCGUCCCACACGAUCAGAUCUCUGUCACAGUUUCUACACUCAAUCACGGAACAGGUCUUCCCUCUGCUUUUCCAGAUUUUGGACAGAACUGUAGCACAGCGGCAAAAAAGUCGGAAGCACUCACGUAGGCAAAGGCACACAGACACUCGCAGAAGGCAAGUAAUGGCGGGGCUACUGUGGCGGCAUCUAUUAGCGCCCGAAGCAACUGGCUGCUGUAAACGGUCUAUAUCAAGAACAAAGACACUAUCUUCGCUGCAUAUGAAAAGGAAAAUGUGGAGUCAUCCAGAAAGCGCCAGCGAACUUCGGCCCAUCCAGACCUCGAGAGCGCCGUCAUUUCUUGGAUUAAGAAUGUUCGGAGCCGAAACCUUCCGCUCAGCGGGCCCAUCAUCGCUGCAAAAGCAAGCGACUUCGCCAUGCAGUUGGACAUUGAAGACUGUAGCGCUUCAGAAGGUUGGCUGUCUCGUUUUAAGGUGCGUCACGGACUAACUUUCAAGAACUUUUCUGGCGAAAGAGCAGACGUCGACGAAGCCACGUGCGAAGAAUGGCUGUCCGGCCCUCUAAAGAAGCACCUCGAAAACUUUUCGCUUGACGACGUAUUCAACGCCGAUGAGACGGCACUCUAUUUCAAAUUACUGCCAAACAAGACAAUCAGGUCCAAAGGUGACGCCUGCGCCGGAGGGAAAAAGAGCAAAGAGAGAGUUACUGUUCUGGUGUGUGCAAACGCAACGGGUACAGAACGAUGUCGGCUACUUGUUAUGGGCAGAGCAAGCAAACCCCGGUGUUUUAAAGAAGUCAGAACCUAUCCUGUGGACUACAAAGCGAAUAAAAGCGCACGGACGACGGCCGAAAUCUUUACCGAGUGGGUAAGUUGGACAGAAAAUUUGCUUCCCAAGGCAGGCAGAUUCUUCUUUUCGUGGACAACUGCUCUGCACAUUGUGAUGUGAAGGGACUCAAGGCGAUCCGCUUGGCAUUUCUGCCAAAAAACACAACAGCCGUCUUGCAGCCGAUGGACUUGGGAAUUAUUCAGAACUUGAAGACUCUGUACAGGAGACACCUACUGGAAAGAAUCAUUCUGUGUUUGGAUAAUGACAGGCCAUAUGACGUGGAUCUCCUGGGAGCGGUCCAUAUUCUGGCAAGCUCGUGGAACCCGAAACUAUCCCCAAUUGCUUUCGAAAGUGCGAAAGGACAACGCGGACGCCGCUCUCGAACUUUUACAGAAGCUGCAAACCAUGUUGACUGAAUCGCGUUUCAGGAAGCGCUUGCAGACACAGAUAACAGAUUACUUUCUGAUGUAAUGGUAUGUUAUCUCUUCUCUGAAUAAAUGUCGAUUUUGUGGC